UCAGUUAUUGCUAGGCUACCUACAGCUAUGGCAGAGGGGGGGGGUCCCUCUAAACCGUAAUGAGCUCCACAGUUGAAGGAUUGGGGCGAGGCAGCCUUGAGGCCAGGGGCAGGUGCAGACAGAGAAGCAACUGUCUCAGAGGAAUAUGGGAAACCAAGGGGGUGGGGUGCACCCUAAACUCAGUGCACCACAGCCACACCCCAUCUCCCCUGCAGGCCUGGCUCAGCAAUGUCUAGGAGAGCAGUAGCUGACCCCACCUGAGCUGUGUCAGAAGGGACCCUGGGCCAGGCAGUCCGCAGGGGUGGGAAGCAGUGACAUCCCAGGGAGACUCAUUUGUCCAUUGGAGAAAGGCUUCGAAGCUCCCUUUCUGGGUCCUGUGGAUGAGAGCAUUUAGCCGGGACAGCCCCCUUCUCGCCCUGCCUCUGCCAUGAGCCUCAACCUCUUUUGUGUGACUCUUUGUCUCCUGGGAGCAGGUCCCAUGGAUGCUGUGAUCACCCAGACGCCAAGAUACCAGAUUAUACAAAUAGGAACUAAAAUGACCCUGGAAUGUUCUCAGGAUAUGAACCAUUUUGCAAUGUUCUGGUAUCGACAAGACCCAGGACAGGGACUGAGGCUGAUCCAUUAUUCAAGUGGUGUCACAGGCACUGCCAAAGAGAAUGUCGCAGAAGGGUACAGUGUCUCCCGAAACAAGCAGGAGCACUUCUCCCUGACCCUGGAGUCUGCGGGCACCAACCAGACAUCCGUGUACCUCUGUGCCAGCAGUGGAAGUCCGAACCCAAAAGCAACGUUGUGUAGCUUGGGAUCCAUGAACUCCAAGGCUCGGCAUCCAUGGGCGGGGGCGUUACGGGAAGUGCAAACCCCAUGA